rnacentral:rRNA from 1 species
UACGUAGGUGGCAAGCGUUGUCCGGAUUUACUGGGCGUAAAGGAUGCGUAGGCGGAUAUUUAAGUCAGAUGUGAAAUACCCGGGCUCAACUUGGGUGCUGCAUUUGAAACUGGAUAUCUAGAGUGCGGGAGAGGUAAGUGGAAUUCCUAGUGUAGCGGUGAAAUGCGUAGAGAUUAGGAAGAACACCAGUGGCGAAGGCGACUUACUGGACCGUAACUGACGCUGAGGCAUGAAAGCGUGGGGAGCAAACAGGAUUAGAAACCCUGGUAGU